rnacentral:rRNA from 1 species
AGUGAACGCUGGCGGCGUGCCUAAUACAUGCAAGUCGAACGGAGUGGCGCACGGGUGAGUAAUGUAUAGCUAAUCUGCCCUACACUAGAGGACAACAGUUGGCAACAACUGCUAAUAAUCUAUAGUGUAGGAUGAGGCUAUAUUGUAUCAGCUAGUUGGUGAGGUAAUGGCUGACCAAGGCUAUGACGCAUAACUGGUCUGAGAGGAUGAUCAGUCACCCUGUAACUGAGACACUGUCCAGACUCCUGCGAGAGGCAGCAUUAGGGAAUCUUCGUCAAUGGACGAAAGCAUUACCGCGCAACGGCGCGUGAGUUAAGAAGUUUUUCGGGUCGUUGUACUCUGGUGUUAGAGAAGCGUGAGUAACUGAGCGUCCCGUGACGGUAUCUAACCAGAAAGCUACGGUAACAACGUGGCAGCAGCCGCGGUAAUUC